GAUAUACUCCAUCCAUCUGAAAAUACUUGUCAUCAAAAUGGAUAAAAAGAGAUGAAUGUAGAAGUAAAAUACAUCUAGAUACAUCCCCUUUUAUCUAUUUUGAUGACAAGUAUUUUCGGACGGAAGGAGUACUGU
rfam:Triticum aestivum genome assembly, contig: Triticum_aestivum_CS42_TGACv1_scaffold_513263_6BS